rnacentral:rRNA from 1 species
CAGUCGCCACGGGAAUACGGAGGGUGCAAGCGUUAUCCGGAUUUAUUGGGUUUAAAGGGUCCGUAGGCGGAUCUGUAAGUCAGUGGUGAAAUCUCACAGCUUAACUGUGAAACUGCCAUUGAUACUGCAGGUCUUGAGUAAAUUUGAAGUGGCUGGAAUAAGUAGUGUAGCGGUGAAAUGCAUAGAUAUUACUUAGAACACUAAUUGCGAAGGCAGGUCACUAAGAUUUAACUGACGCUGAUGGACGAAAGCGUGGGGAGCGAACAGGAUUAGAUACCCCUGUAGUCCCUGUCUCUUAUAC